AUGCACUGGCUUGCAUGGUGGAAGUUGUGUGUGCCAAAGAAAGAAGGUGGAAUGGGAUUUCGAGAUAUUCAUUGUUUUAACCUAGCCCUGUUGGCGAAAUAGGCUUGGAGAUUAAUUGGUAAUCCGGAUUCCUUUUGUCCUCGUGUUCUCAAAUCCAAAUAUUAUCUAGAUUGUGAUAUUUUGAAUGCAACUCUAAAAAAGAGAGCCUCAUUCCCACAUGGCAAAUUAAAGUAUUAUGUCAAGGGUGCAGACACUAAAAAGGUCAUAUAUGGAUGA
rnacentral:rRNA from 1 species